GAGGGUGUAGCUCAGUGAGCGUGCAUACUUUGCAUGCACGAGGUCCUGGGUUCAAUCCCCAGUACCUCCA
rnacentral:tRNA from 1 species